CCCUUAGAUGUUCUGGGCCGCACGCGCGCUACACUGAUGCAUUCAACGAGCCUAUCCUUGACCGACAGGUCCGGGUAAUCUUUGAAUCUGCAUCGUGACGGGGAUAGAUUAUUGCAAUUAUUAAUCUUCAACGAGGAAUGCCUAGUAGGCGCAAGUCAUCAGCUUGCGUCGAUUACGUCCCUGCCCUUUGUACACACCGCCCGUCGCUCCUACCGAUUGGGUGUGCUGGUGAAAUGUUCGGAUCGGCCGUUUGUCGCGGUUUCCGCGGCUCGUGGCUGAGAAGUUCAUUAAACCCUCCCACCUAGAGGAAGGAGAGGUCGUAACA
rnacentral:rRNA from 1 species